AGGGGAACAGAGCAUUCCAAGGCAAGACACCAACAAAGGCAAAGGCUUGGAGGUGAAAAAGUGAGGCUUGCAGCUUCACUCUCCUUUUCCCAUAUCCAAAUCCAGCCCGUCAUCUGAGACCCACACUGAGCCGCCUCCCUCAUGAAGCCCUCCCAGAUACCUCAUGUCCUGCUGACCCUUCUCCUCUUCCUGGAGAACUCAGGCCUGGAGCGCUCAUCUGGCUUGAACUGCUUGGUUGGGUGGCGAGCCGGUUAUGCACACAAGCUCUGAGAGGCCUGGGGGAAGUUGCUUAACCUCUCCAGCCCUCAGUUCCUUCACCUGUAGUUGAGAAUAAUAAUACCUAUCUUUCAGGGUUGCUGAGGGGAGAAUAUUGAUAGAUACAGAGUGCUGGGCACCUGGUGAAUACUGCGUCUUCAGAAAGGACUUCCCUGAUGGCCCUUUCUAGAUAAUCAUUUUUUUCUAGAGGUGGCUCCUGCAGAAUUGCCCAUCCCACGGGCCCUUUGGCCUCAUGGCUGCUCGGACCCCUAGCGUAGCGUGGAAGAGAUGUUUUGGGCCUGGCGCCUAACUGGCCUGGAAGUCAGCCACCCUGGAAGUGCAACAAGCCUGAGACCACAGAGCUGUGAGAAGCCCGAGCCACGUGGGGAGGAAGGGGAUCCAGGAGUGUCAGACACCAGCCCUGGGAGUGAGGACACCACCUUGGGGAGGUCCUGUCGUCACUGAGAUGCAGCAACUCGGACUCUAAGUGAGAAGGGGCUUCCCAACAUUGGCCUUAGUCCUCAUCGGACCAUGUUCUUGCCUGAUGAGCCAGGCUGGAGGAAGGCUCCAAGUGCUGGGUUUUCUCCUUGGGACUUUGUCCUGGGGAUCCUGGGGUAGGGGCUGGACUUGGGGAUCCCGUAGCCUCCCCUAACUGGAAAAAUAGCCGAGAACCCAGGGCAGGAACUGGGCAGAGAAAGAUGGGGGGCCCAGGUGGCUGAGGAGGGGAUGGCCUGAUAAUGUAACUGUCCUGGACAGUGCUCCCAGGAUUUCACAAGGAACAAAGCCCUGGCUUUGGGGCAUCUGGCUUUCUCAGCGAAGCCUGACAUCACCAACGACUGGGAAACAGUGACAUCUGCCGGCUGCCUGAGGCCAGAGCCCUCCUCCUUGGUUGGAGAACCACAGGGCGUUAGACCAUCUUAGAAUCCUGGAACAAAGAGGAUUUGGCCUUUGAUUCAGCUGUCUGGGAGGAGCCCAGGAUUCUGCAUUUCUAACAAGCCGCUAAUACCACUGGGUAUGGGGUCGGCAGUGCACCUUGUUUAGAAAGCUUUAUUUAUAUCAAUUAUAUCUCAGUAAAAUUGAAGGAGUUCCUGUCGUGGCGCAGUGGUUAACAAAUCCAACUAGGAACCAUGAGGUUGUGGGUUCGAUCCCUGGCCUUGCUCAGGGGGUCAAGGAUCCUGCGUUGCCGUGAGCUGUGGUGUAGGUUGAAGACGCGGCUCGGAUACCUCGUUGCUGUGGCUCUGCCGUAAGCCAGUGGCUACAGCUCUGAUUAGACCCCUAGCCUGGGAAUCUCCAUAUGCUGCAGGAGCAGUCCUAGAAAAGGCAANAAAAAAAAAAAAAAAAAAAAAAAAAAAAAAGGAGGAAAAAAUGUUUUAGGGGGCUCAGAGAUGAAUCAGAUCUGGUCCCAGACAUCCCAAGUGUCUUAGGGGUGCUUUUCCACAUAUAAAAUCUGUUGAUCACAAGGCAA
rnacentral:lncRNA from 1 species